UGGAUGAUGUGGAUAAUUCGAUGCAACGCAGACUACACCCUUGACAUGUCCGGAACUUGCCAGAGACGGCUUGGUGCCCGAAAGGGAAUCGGAACACAGGUGCUGCAUGGCUGUCGUCAGCUCGUGUCGUGAGAUGUUGGGUUAAGUCCCGCAACGAGCGCAACCCUUAUCAUUAGUUGCUACGCAAGGGCACUCUAAUGAGACUGCCGGUGACAAACCGGAGGAAGGUGGGGAUGACGUCAAGUCCUCAUGGCCCUUAUGGGUAGGGCUUCACACGUCAUACAAUGGUCGGUACAGAGGGUUGCCAAGCCGCGAGGCGGAGCCAAUCCCACAAAGCCGAUCGUAGUCCGGAUUGUUCUCUGCAACUCGAGAGCAUGAAGUCGGAAUCGCUAGUAAUCGCAGGUCAGCAUACUGCGGUGAAUACGUUCCCGGGUCUU
rnacentral:rRNA from 1 species